AUUGAACGCUGGCGGCAUGCCUUACACAUGCAAGUCGAACGGCAGCACGGGAGCAAUCCUGGUGGCGAGUGGCGAACGGGUGAGUAAAGUAUCGGAACGUGCCCGGUCGUGGGGGAUAACGUAGCGAAAGUUACGCUAAUACCGCAUACGGUCUAUGGAUGAAAGCGGGGGAUCGCAAGACCUCGCGCGAUUGGAGCGGCCGAUAUCAGAUUAGGUAGUUGGGGGGGUAAAGGCUCACCAGGCCGACGAUCUGUAGCUGGUCUGAGAGGACGACCAGCCACACUGGGACUGAGACACGGCCCAGACUCCUACGGGAGGCAGCAGUGGGGAAUUUUGGACAAUGGGCGAAAGCCUGAUCCAGCCAUGCCGCGUGCAGGAUGAAGGCCUUCGGGUUGUAAACUGCUUUCGUACGGAACGAAAAGGUUUGGCCUAAUAAGCUGAGCUCAUGACGGUACCGUAAGAAUAAGCACCGGCUAACUACGUGCCAGCCGCCGCCGUAA
rnacentral:rRNA from 1 species